rnacentral:rRNA from 1 species
AACAAACGCUGGCGGCGUGCCUAAUACAUGCAAGUCGAACGAGGUAGCAAUACCUAGUGGCGCACGGGUGAGUAACGCGUGGAUAAUCUGCCUUUGAGUGGGGGAUAACUAGUCGAAAGAUUAGCUAAUACCGCAUAAGACCACAGGAACUGAGGUUCUAGGGGUUAAAGGUUUUUCGCUCAUAGAUGAGUCCGCGUGAGAUUAGCUAGUUGGUGAGGUAACGGCUCACCAAGGCGACGAUCUCUAACUGGUCUGAGAGGAUGAUCAGUCACACUGGAACUGAGACACGGUCCAGACUCCUACGGGAGGCAGCAGUAGGGAAUAUUGCACAAUGGAGGAAACUCUGAUGCAGCGACGCCGCGUGAGUGAUGAAGGCUUUCGGGUCGUAAAGCUCUGUCGCAGGUGAAUAACACAAUGAAUGUACCCUGUAAGAAAGGAUCGGCUAACUUCGUGCCAGCAGCCGCAGUAA